rnacentral:tRNA from 1 species
AAGCCCCGGCAGGAGUUAUUUGCUCUUUAAAGUUUGCAAUUUUAUGUGCUAUACACCACAAGGCU